rnacentral:rRNA from 1 species
CCUACGGGUGGCUGCAGUAGGGAAUUUUCGGCAAUGGGCGGAACCCUGACCGAGCAACGCCGCGUGAACGAAGAAGGUAUUCGUAAUGUAAAGUUCUUUUAACAGGGAAGAAAGAGAAAUUUGACGGUACCUGAAGAAUAAGCUCCGAGUAACUACGUGCAAGCAGCCUCGGUAAUACGUAGGGAGCGAGCGUUAUCGGGAUUUAUGGGGCGUAAAGGGUGCGUAGAGGGCAUAGUAAGUCUUUUGUAAAAAGGCUGGGCUAAACCCAGGAGGGCAAAAGAUACUGCAAAGCUAGAGUAUGACAGAGGCAAGUGGAACUACAUGUGUAGCGGUAAAAUGCGUAAAUAUAUGUAGGAACACCAGUGGCGAAGGCGGCUUGCUGGGUCGAUACUGACAUUGAGGCACGAAAGCGUGGGGAGCAAACAGGAUUAGAUACCCGAGUAGUC